rnacentral:rRNA from 2 species
AGACCCGAAACCCGGUGAUCUAGCCAUGGGCAGGUUGAAGGUUGGGUAACACUAACUGGAGGACCGAACCGACUAAUGUUGAAAAAUUAGCGGAUGACCUGUGGCUGGGGGUGAAAGGCCAAUCAAACCGGGAGAUAGCUGGUUCUCCCCGAAAGCUAUUUAGGUAGCGCCUCGUGAAUUCAUCUCCGGGGGUAGAGCACUGUUUCGGCUAGGGGGCCAUCCCGGCUUACCAACCCGAUGCAAACUGCGAAUACCGGAGAAUGUUAUCACGGGAGACACACGGCGGGUGCUAACGUCCGUCGUGAAGAGGGAAACAACCCAGACCGCCAGCUAAGGUCCCAAAGUCAUGGUUAAGUGGGAAACGAUGUGGGAAGGCCCAGACAGCCAGGAUGUUGGCUUAGAAGCAGCCAUCAUUUAAAGAAAGCGUAAUAGCUCACUGGUCGAGUCGGCCUGCGCGGAAGAUGUAACGGGGCUAAACCAUGCACCGAAGCUGCGGCAGCGACGCUUAUGCGUUGUUGGGUAGGGGAGCGUUCUGUAAGCCUGUGAAGGUGUGUCGUGAGGCAUGCUG